GGAGAUGUAGCUCAGAUGGUAGAGUGCUUGCCUCACACACAUAAAGCCCUGGGUUCAAUCCCCAGCAACACAC
rfam:Ictidomys tridecemlineatus contig051288, whole genome shotgun sequence.